CCUACGGGAGACAGCAGUGGGGGAUAUUGCACAAUGGGGGAAACCCUGAUGCAGCGACGCCGCGUGGGUGAAGAAGCGCCUCGGCGCGUAAAGCCCUGUCAGCAGGGAAGAAGAUGACGGUAACUGGAGAAGAAGCCCCGGCUAACUACGGGCCAGCAGCCGGCGGAAUACGUAGGGGGCAAGCGUUAUCCGGAUUUACUGGGGGUAAAGGGGGCGCAGACGGCGGUGCAAGCCAGGAGUGAAAGCCCGGGGCCCAACCCCGGGACUGCUCUUGGAACUGCGUGGCUAGAGUGCAGGAGGGGCAGGCGGAAUUCCUGGUGUAGCGGUGAAAUGCGUAGAUAUCAGGAGGAACACCGGUGGCGAAGGCGGCCUGCUGGACUGCGACUGACGUUGAGGCCCGAAAGCGUGGGGAGCAAACAGGAUUAGAUACCCGGGUAGUC
rnacentral:rRNA from 1 species